GACGAACGCUGGCGGCGUGCUUAACACAUGCAAGUCGAACGGAAAGGCCCUGCUUUUGUGGGGUGCUCGAGUGGCGAACGGGUGAGUAACACGUGAGUAACCUGCCCUUGACUUUGGGAUAACUUCAGGAAACUGGGGCUAAUACCGGAUAGGAGCUCCUGCUGCAUGGUGGGGGUUGGAAAGUUUCGGCGGUUGGGGAUGGACUCGCGGCUUAUCAGCUUGUUGGUGGGGUAGUGGCUUACCAAGGCUUUGACGGGUAGCCGGCCUGAGAGGGUGACCGGCCGCAUUGGGACUGAGAUACGGCCCAGACUCCUACGGGAGGCAGCAGUGGGGAAUAUUGAAGAAUGGGCGGAAGCCUGAUGCAGCAACGCCGCGUGCGGGAUGACGGCCUUCGGGUUGUAAACCGCUUUCGCCUGUGACGAAGCGUGAGUGACGGUAAUGGGUAGAGUAGCACCGGCUAACUACGUG
rnacentral:rRNA from 1 species